rnacentral:rRNA from 1 species
CGGGUGAGUAAUGCAUUUUUAUGUGCCCUAAAGUUUAGGAUAACCAAUCAAACGGUUGGAUAAUUCUUUAUAAGUUCUCUUUAUAAAGAGAGAAGAAAGUGAGGAUUCUUUGGGAUCAUUUGAUGUCAGAUUAUGUUGGUUGGUGAGGUAACUGCUUACCAAGGCUUAGAUCUGUAGCUGUUCUAAGAAGGAAGUACAGCCACAUUGGGAUUGAGAUACGGCCCAGACUUCUACGGAAGGCAGCAGUGAGGAAUAUUGGACAAUGGGCGAAAGCCUGAUCCAGCAAUAUCGCGUGUGUGUUAAGGUCUUAGGGCUGUAAAGCACUUUACUUUCCAAAAUAAAAACUCUGAAUAUGGAUUGUUAAUAAGCACCGGCUAAUUUACGUGCCAGCAGCCGCGGUAAUACGUAAGGUGCAAGUGUUAAUCGGAUUUAUUGGGCGUAAAGGGUAUGUAGGUUGUUUAUUGUGAUGAAUGUGAAAUCCAAACUUUAUAGUUUGUAAGCAUUCAUUACUAGUAGGCUUGAAUAUCAUGGAGGGAGAUGGAAUUCUGCAAGUAGUAGUGAAAUGCAUAGAUAUGCAGAGGACCACCAAUGGCGAAGGCAAUCUCUCAAGUAGAUAUUGACACUGAGGUACUAAAGCAUGGGGAGCAAACAGGAUUAGAUACCCUGGUAGUCCAUGCCCUAAACUAUGUCAACUAACUGUUAGUCUUAGUGGUAAAGCUAACGCAUUAAGUUGACCGCCUGGGUAGUACGAUCGCAAGGUUAAAACUCAAAGGAAUUGACGGGGACCUGCACAAGCGGUGGAUGAUGUGGAUUAAUUCGAUAGUACACGAGAACCUUACCUACUUUUGACAUGUAUGGAAUCCUAUUGAAAUUUAGGAGUGCCCAUAGCACAGGUGCUGCAUGGCUGUCGUCAGUUCGUGUCGUGAGAUGUUAGAUUAAGUUCUAUAACGAACGCAACCCUCUCUCUUAUUUUCUACAGAAAGAUAAGAGGACUGCUUACUUAAGAGGAAGGUGAGGAUGACGUCAAGUCAUCAUGGCCUUUAUAAGUAGGGCUUCACACGUCAUACAAUGGUGGAUACAGUGCGUAAUAUGGUAGGGAUCAAAUUAAAUAGAGAUCUAUUCCAUCAAUCGUUAAAAUCUACCUUAGUUCGGAUUGAGAUCUGCAACUCGAUCUCACGAAGUAGGAAUCGCUAGUAAUCGCAAAUUAGAAUGUUGCGGUGAAUAUGUUCUCAGGUCUUGUACACACC